rnacentral:piRNA from 1 species
UGAAUAUGAUGUUUCAGGAGGCGAUAAAG